CAGCCGCCACGGUAAUACAGAGGGUGCGAGCGUUAAUCGGAUUUACUGGGCGUAAAGCGUGCGUAGGCGGCUUUUUAAGUCGGAUGUGAAAUCCCUGAGCUUAACUUAGGAAUUGCAUUCGAUACUGGGAAGCUAGAGUAUGGGAGAGGAUGGUAGAAUUCCAGGUGUAGCGGUGAAAUGCGUAGAGAUCUGGAGGAAUACCGAUGGCGAAGGCAGCCAUCUGGCCUAAUACUGACGCUGAGGUACGAAAGCAUGGGGAGCAAACAGGAUUAGAUACCCCAGUAGUCCCUGUCUCUUAUAU
rnacentral:rRNA from 1 species